rnacentral:rRNA from 1 species
UACGUAGGGCGCGAGCGUUGUCCGGAAUUAUUGGGCGUAAAGAGCUCGUAGGUGGCUUGCUUGCGUCUGCCGUGAAAGCCCGUGGCUUAACUACGGGUCUGCGGUGGAUACGGGCAGGUUAGAGGCUGGUAGGGGCAAGCGGAAUUCCUGGUGUAGCGGUGAAAUGCGUAGAGAUCAGGAAGAACACCCGUGGCGAAGGCGGCCCACUGGGCCGGUACUGACGCUGAGGCGCGAAGGCGUGGGGAGCGAACGGG